rnacentral:rRNA from 1 species
UACGUAGGUGGCAAGCGAUACUCGGAAUCACUAGGCGUAAAGCGCAGGUAGGCGGUUUGGUAAGUCUUUUGUGAAAGCUCCCGGCUUAACUGGGAGAGGUCAAGGGAAACUACCAGACUAGAGUGUGGUAGGGGAUACUGGAAUUCCUGGUGUAGCGGUGAAAUGCAUAGAUACCCUGCAGAACACCGAUUGCGAAGGCAGCUUACUAAGUUGUCACUGACGCUGAGGCACGAAAGCGUGGGGAUCAAACAGG